AUUGGGACUGAGAUACGGCCCAGACUCCUACGGGAGGCAGCAGUGGGGAAUAUUGCACAAUGGGCGCAAGCCUGAUGCAGCGACGCCGCGUGCGGGAUGACGGCCUUCGGGUUGUAAACCGCUUUUGAUCGGGAGCAAGCCUUCGGGUGAGUGUACCUUUCGAAUAAGCACCGGCUAACUACGUGCCAGCAGCCGCGGUAAUACGUAGGGUGCAAGCGUUAUCCGGAAUUAUUGGGCGUAAAGGGCUCGUAGGCGGUUCGUCGCGUCCGGUGUGAAAGUCCAUCGCUUAACGGUGGAUCUGCGCCGGGUACGGGCGGGCUGGAGUGCGGUAGGGGAGACUGGAAUUCCCGGUGUAACGGUGGAAUGUGUAGAUAUCGGGAAGAACACCAAUGGCGAAGGCAGGUCUCUGGGCCGUUACUGACGCUGAGGAGCGAAAGCGUGGGGAGCGAACAGGAUUAGAUACCCUGGUAGUCCACGCCGUAAACGGUGGAUGCUGGAUGUGGGGCCCGUUCCACGGGUUCCGUGUCGGAGCUAACGCGUUAAGCAUCCCGCCUGGGGAGUACGGCCGCAAGGCUAAAACUCAAAGAAAUUGACGGGGGCCCGCACAAGCGGCGGAGCAUGCGGAUUAAUUCGAUGCAACGCGAAGAACCUUACCUGGGCUUGACAUGUUCCCGACAGCCGUAGAGAUGCGGCCUCCCUUCGGGGCGGGUUCACAGGUGGUGCAUGGUCGUCGUCAGCUCGUGUCGUGAGAUGUUGGGUUAAGUCCCGCAACGAGCGCAACCCUCGCCCUGUGUUGCCAGCACGUCAUGGUGGGAACUCACGGGGGACCGCCGGGGUCAACUCGGAGGAAGGUGGGGAUGACGUCAGAUCAUCAUGCCCCUUACGUCCAGGGCUUCACGCAUGCUACAAUGGCCGGUACAACGGGAUGCGACAUGGCGACAUGGAGCGGAUCCCUGAAAACCGGUCUCAGUUCGGAUUGGAGUCUGCAACCCGACUCCAUGAAGGCGGAGUCGCUAGUAAUCGCGGAUCAGCAACGCCGCGGUGAAUGCGUUCCCGGGCCUUGUACACACCGCCCGUCAAGUCAUGAAAGUGGGUAGCACCCGAAGCCGGUGGCCUAACCCCUUGUGGGAUGGAGCCGUCUAAGGUGAGACUCGUGAUUGGGACUAAGUCGUAACAAGGUAGCCGUACCGGAAGGUGCGGCUG
rnacentral:rRNA from 1 species